rnacentral:rRNA from 1 species
ACGAACUGUGCAAACGUUAUUCGGAAUCACUGGGCUUACAGGGUGCGUAGGCGGUCUGUUAAGUAGGGUGUGAAAGCCCCCGGCUCAACCGGGGAAUUGCGCCCUAAACUGGCGGACUGGAGUGAGAUAGGGGUGUGCGGAACUUCCGGUGGAGCGGUGAAAUGUGUUGAUAUCGGAAGGAACGCCGGUGGCGAAAGCGGCACACUGGAUCUCAACUGACGCUGAGGCACGAAAGCCAGGGGAGCGAACGGGA